rnacentral:pre_miRNA from 1 species
UGGAUAUAUUUCUACUCGACCAAAGUUUUGUAAGAAACAAUACAGAAUUUGGGGAUGGGAGGGAGGAUAUUUUGAGAA